GCAGCCCGGGCACCAGGACCGCCGCGGUAAUGCCAGCCCGGCACAAAGGCACGGCACGGCUCUCUGAGGCCGCAAGAGCUUCCCGGGCCGACCACGCUUCUCUACUGGACCGCAGUCGGGUUAAAGGGAGGGGAGCGGGGGCUCAGCUGCCCCCGGAGCCGCGAGGUGCGGAGCCCGGGGAGAGUCGGCACACGGACCGGCUGCUGCCGUGCCUCGCACCCUCCGCCUGCGACGCCAGCGAGAAACUGAGGCAGCGAAGAAAGACGAGCAAUCUGGAGAACAAUUAACAAACCACGUAAUUAAGUAGAAACCGAUUUUCGCUUGUGGCUGAUGUCUGUCUCCUUAGCACGCCGAGCAAGAUGCAACACGCUCCGCCGGCACCACGCACGCUCCUUUACACAGCGCAGGAAGCACACGGACGUGCACGAGCCCCGAGGAUUUGGUUGCACAAAGAGAAAAUUAAGCAGCCUCUUUGUCUGAGCUCACGACUUGCACCAGAAAAUUCCUCCCUGGUGCCGUCAUCGGCUCUGCUGAGCCGAUGUCACCGCGGCAGGAGGGCUUGUGGCUUGCUGGACUUGCAGGGCAAAUAGGGGCAGCGGUCGGCAAAGCUGGCCGUGGGGCGGCUCCUGCACAGCCCACGGAGUUACAGCGCAGAGCUCCGGCUCCGUGCGACCAGAUAGCAAAGCCCUCUGGGUUGUGAGCACAGGUCAUCUUCCUCUGCCCCCGAGAACGGCCUGCGGCACUGACCCACACAGCGUUCACGCGAGCUUACAGCCCGUCUCCAGGACGUGUGUGAUGUUAAUGCCGCUGGCAGAAGAGAAGCUUUCCUAUUCCCACUCCUAAGAUGGUUUCUUACUGUAUUCCCUAAAAAACAGACUCCUCAGAGUAAUAGUAAAGUAACAGUAAUGAUGUAAAAAUAGCAAGAUCUUUCUGGAGGUUGAAAUUCCCACUUUUCUGCACAAUCCUUAUUCAUUAGUCCUUACUGGUUUAAAAAAAAAUACUGGUUAAACCUGCCUACAUACAAACAGCAGCACACAGGCUGUAAGUGUAAAGAGUAAAAAAGAGUAAAUGUAAGAGCAAAAAUGCCAAAGUACUGACAAAGCCUGCAGACUUAUUUGCAGCAAAUGCUUAAGCAUAGUUUUGCUCUUGUCGCUUAUCUUGCUGUUACUGUAUGGCUGGUUGCAACACAAGGGCCUUUUUAAGUGCUUUGAAUAUUUAAAAGGCAUUUAGUUACAUACUAAAUUAGAUACAUACUAAAUUAGUUACAAUACAAUCAACAACUUGAUUGUAUUGUUAAAUACAUCAAUGUUUUGUCCGGAGUUGAGGAGAACUUACUCCACCGCCACAAAAAAAUCCCUUUAGAAGUGCAUUGUGGCUGGGAAUCCAGUGAGGCAGCCCUUUGCCUUUGGGAUGAGGCCAGAAUCUGCUUCUAUCACGAUGUUCCUGCCAUGCCAUAGAUGUCUUGACACAGGCAGAAUUUGCCUUGAGAAGAAUCUGCUUUUCUGUCCACAGUUGGACCAGCUGAAGGCAUUUCUCAACAGAGAUGCUGAUGGUGUACGGAUGGCAGGUGGACUCACUUGGAAAGAUCCUUCAAACAGACUCUUUCUAAAAAAUUGGAGUUGCCUCUUUUUUUCUUUUUCCUUUUCUUUUUUUUUUUUUUUUUUGGAAUAUGCAGGAAGUGACACCUGACUUCAUGCUGCAACUGGUCCUUCCAGUUCUGUGAAAACAUGACUCUUAAAAGAUGAUGAAGGAUUCGAAUUAGGUCAGUCAGAAUGAACCCAAAAGACUACACGUGUCAGGAGAGUGUUCCCCCAGAGGGAGACAAAUGUAAAUAAAGUACAAACAUUUUGAAAAA